GAUGAACGCUAGCUACAGGCUUAACACAUGCAAGUCGAGGGGCAGCAUGUCGGUUGCUUGCAACCGACGAUGGCGACCGGCGCACGGGUGAGUAACGCGUAUCCAACCUACCCUUGUCCAUCGGAUAACCCGUCGAAAGGCGGCCUAACACGAUAUGCGGUUCUCAGCAGGCAUCUAACGAGAACGAAAUGUGAAGGAGAAGGAUGGGGAUGCGUCUGAUUAGCUUGUUGGCGGGGUAACGGCCCACCAAGGCAACGAUCAGUAGGGGUUCUGAGAGGAAGGUCCCCCACAUUGGAACUGAGACACGGUCCAAACUCCUACGGGAGGCAGCAGUGAGGAAUAUUGGUCAAUGGACGGGAGUCUGAACCAGCCAAGUAGCGUGCAGGAUGACGGCCCUAUGGGUUGUAAACUGCUUUUAUAGGGGGAUAAAGUGUGCCACGUGUGGCAUAUUGCAGGUACCCUAUGAAUAAGGACCGGCUAAUUCCGUG
rnacentral:rRNA from 1 species